rnacentral:rRNA from 1 species
CCCUUAGAUGUCCUGGGCCGCACGCGCGUUACACUGAUGCAUUCAACGAGCUUAUAACCUUGGCCGAGAGGCCUGGGCAAUCUUGUUAACGUGCAUCGUGAUAGGGAUAGAUUAUUGAAAUUAUUAAUCUUGAACGAGGAAUUCCUAGUAAACGCAGAUCAUCAAUCUGCAUUGAUUACGUCCCUGCCCUUUGUACACACCGCCCGUCGCUACUACCGAUUGAAUGGUUUAGUGAGAUCUCUGGAUUGACGCUGGCUAGGGGGCGACCCUUGGCCAGACUGUUGAGAAACUGCUCAAACUUGAUCAUUUAGAGGAAGUAAAAGUCGUAACA